AUUGAACGCUGGCGGCAUGCUUUACACAUGCAAGUCGAACGGUAACAGGCCUUCGGGUGCUGACGAGUGGCGAACGGGUGAGUAAUGCAUCGGAACGUACCCAGAGGUGGGGGAUAACGCAGCGAAAGCUGUGCUAAUACCGCCUGUGAUCUGAGGAUGAAAGCGGGGGACCGAGCAGCAAUGUUUGGCCUCGCGCCUUUGGAGCGGCCGAUGUCGGAUUAGCUAGUUGGCGGGGUAAAGGCCUACCAAGGCGACGAUCCGUAGCUGGUCUGAGAGGACGAACAGCCACACUGGGACUGAGACACGGCCCAGACUCCUACGGGAUGCAGCAGUGGGGAAUCUUGGACAAUGGGCGCAAGCCUGAUCCAGCAAUGCCGCGUGAGGGAAGAAGGCCUUCGGGUUGUAAACCGCUUUUGGCAGGAACGAAACGGUGUCCGCUAAUACCGGGCGCUAAUGACGGUACCUGCAGAAUAAGCACCGGCUAACUACGUG
rnacentral:rRNA from 1 species